rnacentral:rRNA from 1 species
UCCAGACUCCUACGGGAGGCAGCAGUGGGGAAUAUUGCACAAUGGGGGAAACCCUGAUGCAGCGACGCCGCGUGAGUGAAGAAGUAUUUCGGUAUGUAAAGCUCUCUCAGCAGGGAAGAAAAUGACGGUACCUGACUAAGAAGCCCCGGCUAACUACGUGCCAGCAGCCGCGGUAAUACGUAGGGGGCAAGCGUUAUCCGGAUUUAUUGGGUUUAAAGGGUGCGCAGGCGGCACGGCAAGCCGGCGGUCAAAUCGCGGGGCUCAACCCCGCCCAGCCGUCGGAACUGCCGGGCUAGAGUGGGCGAGAAGUGCGCGGAAUGCGUGGUGUAGCGGUGAAAUGCAUAGAUAUCACGCAGAACCCCGAUUGCGAAGGCAGCAUACCGGUGCACAACUGACGCUCAGGCACGAAAGCGUGGGUAUCGAACAGGAUUAGAUACCCGAGUAUG